rnacentral:lncRNA from 1 species
UUACAAAUAUCUUUCUUGACGUGUCUCAGACACAGCUGAGAGUGCUUAUUUUGCAGACUUUAAUAAAAUCAUGUGAGAAGGAGAUGCAGGAAGCAGACAUAUUCAAAACUAAAUGGAUCUGGGAUCUUCAAAACUAAUGGAGCUUGGAAUAACAACCAUUUGAAAGGGUGAACUGAAGUCAUGGCCAAUACAUUCGUCAUCACCUCUUCAUUCUGAAGAGAAUGUCAGUUCCAAUGUGGAGAUAUCCCAGUACUCUGCUGAUGAUAAAAAUAAGCAGAGAGAACUGUAGCUAUUGGAAGAGAAAACAAAUGUUUCUCCUAGGCAUUGCAGUCCUAUUGAGGGGCCAGCUGUGUGAGAAGCCACUGAAGAGUGUCUCUCCAUGACCUCAUAACUCUUGAGUCCUCUAGUUUUUCCUCCAUGGCUCCAAUUAAGAUGAAGAAAGCUGAACUGUCAAAGUAACAACUGGCUUGAGAAUAACCAGUAUUCUCCAAGGCAUUUCGAAGGACCUGGGAAAAGAUCCUGUGCUUACCAGGAAAUUUCACUGAUCUUAUCAAGCCCCAAAACACAGGAAGGAGAAAAACAUCUGCACAAAUGAAAAACCAUUGCUAUCUUGUUGAAAACCCCAGUGGUAAACAUUUUUCAUAAAAUGAGAGGUAUCUGCUUCUGUGGGAUUUUUUUUAGCAGUAAAAGAAUAGAUGGUGCAAGACAAGUGAAGAGGGAUUCCAUAAAUAAUUGCAUUUCAGUCACCUGUUUGGCAUCAUCUUAAUUGUUACAACAAAUAGCGCAAGACGACAAAAAAAUGAACAGCUUUCUACUCAGAAGAUAAACUGCUUUUAAAAAAGAAAGGAAUGAAACCCAGCUCCAUAAUUUUUCGAAUCCUAGUUAAUUAAAAUGGGCAUGACUGGAGAAGCAUAGAUGCCUGAGCAGCUUUCAAGACAUUUCUCUGGCAUGUUCCCACUGACUCUGAGACCUUAUUUCCAACCGCAGUAUCUGCUUACCCUAGUGCAGCACCUUCAAACCAACCUUCCCCAAAGGAUCCAGCAGACAUGGUCUGAGACUAGAGCUAAGCACAAGCUGGAACAACAGAGUCUCAGGAGGAAUCCCAGACAAAAAAUGCACUUGGGUGAAGACAUCUCAACUACAGCCAAGUUUCAGUAUUGUGGAAUCAGCCUUCACUACAAGGAGAUUGAUGCACUGAGAAAAAUUCAAGCAGCUCUCAUCUGCUCUACUCUGCCGUGGUGAGGCAGAGCAUCACAGGAAGAGGAACAAGAAUUCAUGGGAGACAAGUACUGAUGCAGAUGAAGGAGGAAGACAAGACUUGAUCAUCUCAGAAAGAGUGCAGUAAAAGUAAAGCUGUGAGACAACAAGAAACAAGCACAGUUGUGUUGUUAUGUAUAGAAGGCCAGAGUUCAGAGAGUCUGGUUUCUUGAGGAUGAUGUAU